CCACCAGAGUGAGUCACGGUGACAAACACACGCCUGUCCUCUCAAUGCUCAGAGGACAGGGAAACAGAGUGCUUCUCCCACAGUGCUGCACUGGCCCUACCAGGAGCCACACUCAGGCCUCUGCACCACAGGAAGCAUGAAGGAUCACAAGUUCAGCCACCCUGGGUCAGUUGGGAUGGAGCCUGAUGAGUCUAUAAAGACGCAAUGGCAUCCUGAGCUCUAUGGCCGGCUCUCAGGGUGG
ensembl:lncRNA